GACGUAGGGCGCGAGCGUUGUCCGGAUUUAUUGGGCGUAAAGAGCUCGUAGGCGGUUUGUCGCGUCGUCUGUGAAAACCCACGGCUCAACUGUGGGCUUGCAGUCGAUACGGGCAGGCUAGAGUUCGGUAGGGGAGACUGGAAUUCCUGGUGUAGCGGUGAAAUGCGCAGAUAUCAGGAGGAACACCGGUGGCGAAGGCGGGUCUCUGGGCCGUAACUGACGCUGAGGAGCGAAAGCAUGGGGAGCGAACAGG
rnacentral:rRNA from 1 species